AUGGAGACUGACUGUUUAGAGGCAGUUCACCUCUGGAACUCUCGCUACACCGACCGGUCGGUGAUAGCACCUAUCUUGUAUGAAAUUGGAGAGCUAGCCAUUAGCUUCACCUCUUUUAGUAUUCAACAUGUAAUGAGAAUAUUUAAUGGUCCUGCACACGUGUGUGCUAAGCGUGCUUGUACGCUUAACGUGAUCGAGAGCUGGUUAGAUACCACUCCUAGCUUCCUGAUCAGCAACCUCCUGGCUGACUGCUCAGCGAAUGCUUUUGUUGAAUAA
rnacentral:rRNA from 1 species